rnacentral:rRNA from 1 species
GUGGAUGCCUUGACACUAGGAGUCGAUGAAGGACGGGACUAACGCCGAUAUGCUUCGGGGAGCUGCAAGUAAGCUUUGAUCCGAAGAUUUCCGAAUGGGGAAACCCACCAUACGGAAUUGUAUGGUAUCCUUAUCUGAAUACAUAGGUGAAGGAAGACAGAGCCAGGGAACUGAAACAUGUAAGUACCUUGAGGAAGAGCAAGCUAAAUGCGAUUUCCUGAGGAGCGGCGAGCGCAACGGGAUAAAGGGAAAGCCAAGGGGCUUGUCUAUGGGGGUUGUAGGACAUUCUAUGCGGAGUUAGAGAGGGACGAGGUAGACUAGGCGACCUGUAGAGGUGUGUCGUAGAGGGAAACAACACAGUAGUCGAAACUUCGUU